rnacentral:misc_RNA from 1 species
UUUUGUUUUUGUACUAACGGAAGUGGUUGGUUUGGCUCAAAAUUCUAAAUUCCUUGUGCUUUAAAAACUCUUUCUUUCUCGAUUUUGAAGCAGUCUCUCUAACCAGAGCCUUAUUAUAGGCACAAACCCCGUUCUUCUCUCUCUUUUGCGUUGUUUGGCUAUUGGGUUUUUGGUGGCUCACAAUCCCAAAUGAGCAUCUCUCUUUUUUUUAUGUGUUUAGCCGCAAAACCUUCCCUUUCUUUCCCUUUCAAUGGAGUUGUAAAGCAAAAAAGGGGGAUGAUGAUUAUGAUGAAUCAAUGAGCUACCACCGACUCUGUCCUUUCUCUCUUUUUUUCUUAUUCUCCUCCUCCGUUUUUAUAGAAUUCAAAGUCAACCUUCUCGUCUCGUCUUCUCUCUAACGAACUUGUUUCUUUGAGAGAGAGGUGGGAUUUGGGUUUAUGGGUUUUGCCUUUGGUGGCAUGCGGGCGGCUUUUCAUUCUGUUUAAAGGUUUAUUUAUUGAAAUUUUAUUUUGGGGUUUGUUUUGAAUUUUGUUUGUUUUUAAAAUUAUUGGGUCGUUAGUCUCCAUUAACAUAAUGGUUGGAAUUGGGUCGUUUUCUUAGGGUUUACUUUUUGUUUUUAUUUGUAUUUUAUUUGUGGUUUUAUUUAAAUCAGUUGAUGCAAUAAAAAAUUGGUUGGUGAUAGGGAAUUUGGGGUUUUUUUAGGUCAAAUUUUUCAGGCAGUACAGAGAAAGUAUUUUGCUUACUCAUUUUCUGAUUGGUGAGGAAUCUAUUAUAAAAUUUUGGUUAUAAGGUCAAUAUUGGAUAGAAGGAUUUUGGGUUGGUGAAUUGGGUUUCUGUUUGAUCAAAAUUUUCACUACAAUAUUUGAUCGGUAAUUUGAUCUUUGGUAAGCCUUGUUGAAUUUUCGUUGCCGAUUGAAAAUUGCAUGUUCUUUUAUCAUUAAUGUUUAUUGGAAUUCGAAGACAAUGAUGCAAAAUUGAAAUUUAUAUGGAUCAGUUCUUUAUAGGAUAGUAAGCAAUAGUAUUGUUUCUGGCUUUUGUUAUUUUUUGAUUGCUGCCUGAGAUUUAAGGCUAUCUUUGAGAUUUAAGGAAUCAUAUUUGUAUUUGGUUCUUUACAAUGGAUUCAAGAACAAGUGGUGAUGCCGGGGGUAUCACGGCAGAGGGGAAAUCUGAUAAUCAAUCAAUGGUGAAAGGUACAGGAAGUGUUAGUAGCAAAGAUAUGAUUUUUCGAGCAGAUAAAAUCGAUCUUAAGAGCUUGGAUGUACAGCUGGAGAAGCACUUGAGCAGGGUUUGGUCUAGGAACGUUGAGAACCAAAGGCCUGCAGAAGUGUGGGAGAUCGAUUUGUCUAAAUUGGACAUAAAGCAUGUCAUAGCCCACGGAACUUAUGGGACUGUGUAUCGUGGUAUCUACGAUAACCAGGAUGUUGCAGUGAAGCUGUUGGACUGGGGUGAGGAUGGUAUUGCCACAACUGCUGAAACCGCUGCUCUGCGGGCAUCAUUUCGGCAAGAGGUUGCUGUUUGGCACAAGCUUGACCAUCCUAAUGUCACAAAAGUACAAACUUAUUCUUAAACUUUUAUUCCCUUUAUUGUCAUGACACCAACGUGAUUUUAACAUAAAAAUAAGAUGGCAUUUAUGGGCUGUGCAAUUUUUAUCACAAUUUCACAAACUUCUACUGUACAUUCUUGAUAUUGCCUUCUAAUUUACGUGUGUGAUUUUGUUAUGACAUUUUCUCAAUUUUUAUCGUGUUUAUAUUUCAACAACCAAAGCAUUUUGUGCAUACUUGAGCAAGUCUUGGAACCUGGAACUUUUCUACAUACUACAUAAACAAGGAUGCGCCCUGCAAUUGUAUCCGUUAAAGUAGGAUUCUUUCUUCUGUUGUAUUUUUAAUCCUUUGUGUUACAAUUUUCUAAACAGUUUGUUGGAGCAUCAAUGGGAACAUCAAAUCUCAAAAUUCCUGCAAAAGACAUGUCUGAUGGUCAAACUUCUCUCCCUUCCAGGGCAUGUUGUGUAGUUGUUGAGUAUCUCCCUGGUGGGACUCUAAAAAAUUACUUGAUAAGAAAUAGGCGGAAGAAACUUGCUUUUAAGAUUGUGGUCCAACUGGCUUUGGAUCUCUCUAGGGGGUGAGUACUGGUUGCCAGUCAUUUUUGUCUAGAAAUUUGUAAAUAAGCUAAUCAGUGAUGGGGAUUCUACUUUUUGUACAUAUUUGCAGACUUAGCUAUCUACAUUCAAAGAAAAUUGUACAUCGUGAUGUCAAAACUGAAAACAUGUUAUUGGAUUCUCAUCGAACUCUUAAAAUCGCUGAUUUUGGUGUUGCCCGUGUUGAAGCUCAGAAUCCAAGGGACAUGACUGGUGAAACUGGUACCCUUGGAUACAUGGCCCCAGAGGUAUCCAUUCCUUCGCAACAUUUGAUAUGUUUUCUGAUGAGGAAAUAUUUUUAAACCAUCUUUGUAUAUGUUAUUUUCACCUAUUGAAAGCAAGUAGGAUUACUGUUUCACAAUGAAUGGCUAUUUCAGUAUGUGCAAAGAAAAUGAAGAGGGAAAGAAAUUCUGAAGUAUAUGUCCCAAUACUGUGUGAAAGUUAAUCUUCUAUAGGACAUCUUCAAUGUGGGUCUCUGUUGUUGCAUCUAAUAAGAUACCUUACAGUCAUUGGUAAACUAGUAGACAGAGAAAUGAAAAUGCAGUUGAAUUUGCAUAUUUGACGUGUGGUUGAAUGCUUUCUAACAAGACACUUUAUGCAGGUUCUUGAUGGCAAGCCGUAUAAUAGAAGCUGUGAUGUCUACAGCUUUGGCAUAUGCUUGUGGGAAAUUUAUUGCUGUGAUAUGCCCUACCCUAAUCUUAGCUUUGCUGAUGUGUCAUCUGCUGUUGUUCGACAGAAUCUACGACCAGAGAUCCCAAGAUGCUGUCCAAGUUCUUUAGCAACUAUCAUGCGAAAAUGCUGGGAUGCAAAUGCAGAAAAACGUCCUGAAAUGGCUGAGGUGGUGCGUAUGUUAGAAGCCAUCGAUACAAGCAAGGGAGGAGGGAUGAUUCCUGAUGACCAGGCACCUGGCUGUUUCUGUUUUGCCCCUGCUCGUGGUCCUUGAGUUCCUUGUUUGUCCUUUUGUCCAUUCUUUUGAUUCUCAUUUUAUUUGAAAGCACAGAUGGAAUCAUGUCAACUAGCUUUUUGAUUGAUUUUUGCCUGACAUUUUCUUUACAGUAAUGAAAACAUGCUAUAAGGUUCAUAAAGUUUAACUCUUUGCAUCUCAAAUUAUGUUAGCCUGGUAUGGCUAUUUUGAUGGUGACAGUAAACGAGUGAUGCAAUGCAUAUUUGCUAUGAAUUCUCGCAUGUCUUGUACAGGGGUUUUGGUUGCAGGGUGGUGAUUGCGUAUGAAACCUGACAGUGACACGGGUGGCAUACUGAAGAUGAGAAGAGCAGGAACUGCUCUUUACACAUUUAGCAACUCUAUGCUUCCCUUGCUAAAAUUUAACCUCAAGCCUAGAAACAAAUUUUGUUUUAAAUCUAAGCCUUCU